ensembl:snRNA U2 U2 spliceosomal RNA
AUCGAGUCUCGGCCUUUUGGCUAAGAUCAAGGGUAGAAUCUGUUCCUAUCGGUUUAAUAUUUUCAAGACACAAACAGUUCUGAAGGGCUUGUUUUAAAAAUCGGUGGUGUCUUGUUACAUCCUACAAAAUACCCUCACUCCCAAGCUAAGUGUUUUUAACUAUUU